GAAUUCCACGCCGUCACAGGGUGAACAUGCAAACUCCACACACACAGACAGCGCCCAAUGUCUGGAUAGAGCUUGGGUCUCUGGCACGGUGAGGCAGUGCCCCUACCCCCGCCACUGUGCUGCCCCACUUUGGAUUUAUGCUUCCCAGUUUUUCUUUGCUCAUCGUUAUGCCACUAAAUUAAACGUACCGACAUACUGUGAUGUAAGUGAAGACACAGUCAAUGCACCCCUAAGGCUGGGAUAGGCUUAGCAAUGCUAUGUGCAAACCUUCAAAGUUAUUUACCUGUUUAACGUCACUGCAUCGGGCUCAAUCAUUUUCAUUCCUUCCGUUUCCUUUUCGGUUCGCUGGAAGAGGUAAUGAUUUUUAUUUCGACUGAAUCAUUUCCAACUAGAUUUGGUGUGUAUUUAUUCUCUGUCGUGUGUGCUAAACGUUGUGUGAGAUGCUCCAGUCACCUCAUUGAGCACCGCUUCUGAACGUCGUUGCGAUAGAAACUCAACGUGGAUCCAGCAUUCAAAUGUACUGAGCAGUAAACAAAGUGCCGGAGGAACUCGGGGAAGGGUCCCGACCCGAAACGUCACCUAUCCAUGUGCUCCGGAGAUGCUGCCUGGCCCGCUGAGUUACUCCAGCUCUUUGUGGCCUUUGCUGGAGGAACUCCGCAGGUCAGGAAGCAUCUGUGGAGGGAAUGAACAGCCGACGUUUUAUGUCAUACAGCAUGGAAUCAGGCCCUUCAGCCCAACUCGUCCAUGCUGACCAAGAUGCACCAUCUAUGCUAGACGCAUUUGCCCACAUUUAACUUAUACCCCUCUAAACCUUUUCCCAUCAAAGUACCUGUCCAAAUGUCUCUCAAAUGUUAUUGUACCUGCCUUAACUACUUCUUCUGGCAGCUUGUUCCAUAUACCCACUUUUUCAGACUGAAGAGGGGUGCCAACUCAAAAUGUCAAAAGACUAUUUCCUGUCACUUACCCUGACCCUCUGAGUUCCUCAAAUACUUUAUUUUUUGUUCAUGAUUACAGCAUCUGCAGUCUCUUGUGUUGGUAUUGGUGUUUGUGUGUACCAAGAUACAGUGAAACACUUUGGCUAUUUGCUCUACAGGCAAAUAGUGCCAUACACAAGUACAAGUACAAGUACCAUGAGUACAAUCAAGCCACACACAAGUACAACAGGCAGUGCAAAGAGUUGGCAACGUUAUUGUGGUACAGAUAUAGAGAAAAAGUGCAAAGCGUCCAAUGAGGUAGGUUGGAAGAUCUGGACUAUCCCCUGGAGGACUGGUUCAGUAGAAAAAGCGCAAAGUCUGCAAUAGGUUGGAAGAUUGGGACUAUCUCCUGCAGGACUGGUUCAGUCAUCUGAUGAACAGCGGGGAAGAAGCUGUUCCUGAAUCCAUGUCUGCGGAUGUAAUGACAUUACAUGCCAAGAGUACACAAAGAAAGGACAACAUUCUGUCUUCAUCGCCUUCAUUUUGUUUACUCAUAACCAUAAAUCACGUGUAACAUUUGCUUGCUUGCACCACAUCCAGAUUACAGCAGUAAAUAUUUUUAAAAAUUGCAAGGGACUUUCUUUUCAAAUGAAUCUACUUUAAAAAAAAAAAGACAAGCCUGGAGCUUUGAACUUUACAGAAGCUAAUGUAGUCGAGGAUUGAGGGAAUGCAGUCGGAUGGUUGCUGAGGCUAAUUCUAAUGAAUUCUGACAUGCAUUUGAUUUCCUUUUAGGUUAGAUUAGCGCAUCAGAAAGGAUGGUACAAUAUAAACCGUUUGUGCUGUUGCCGAUAGAUUUAUGCAAAAUAAACUCUGACGCACGUCACAAUCA